GUGUACAUCCAAAAUAAUUUGGAUCUGAGAAACAUUUAUCUCUAAAUAUGGGUGAGGCCCAACCCAUUUCAGCAUGUUUCAUGUUGAACUGUACCAUAAAUUGUGUGCCCAAUACAAUUAUUUGUUUUGUCGACGAUUCUAAUAAAAGAACACAAGUCUCGUGUUUCAUGCAGAACUGUACCAUAAAAUCUGUGGCCCAAUACAAUUAUAUAUAUGUUGUGUGGACGACUCUAUUUAAAAAAGAAAAAAAAAGAAGUAUCAUGUUGAAAAAGACAUAAGGUACAAAAUAGUUUAUAAAAUAGAGAUAUUUUUCAUUUUACUAGUUGAUUUUGUAAAAAUAAAUUAAAUAUAAUAAUAAAAUCUAUUUUGUUAUAAGAAUAUAUCCAUUGAAAUCACUCAUCAAAAGUUUGAUAUAAAAAAUAAAUAAAUAUAAAAUGAAUUUAUAGAAAAAAAACAUUUUUCACUUGCAAAUCGAAAGACCCAUUUUUUGCAAUUGAAUCCAAUGACCUCUUUAUUGUUAACUAAUAAGCGUCAAUCAAGCCAUGCCAGCCAACUCACUUUGUUAACUGAUUUCUCUGUUCAAAUAUUCAGAUGGGAUACCCAACAAAAUGGUCCUUAUUAUGUUUCUUUUUCCCUCAAUUUCCUUUAGUUAUGUGGUUGCCUUUUUUUUGGGUGGGGAAACUAUAUAGAAGAGAGUGAUCAGAUGUUAAACUUCCAUUUAAAGAGACUACAAUGAUUUUUUGGUAUGCUAACUUUUAUGGUCAAACAACAUUUAUA
rnacentral:lncRNA from 1 species